CUGUGAAGAAAGGCUUUAAGCUUAUGUGGGUAACUUCAGGGUUGACUUUAAAUCAUUGUACAUUUUCUAUACACACGAAGAAACAGUGAUAUUUCUAUAUGAUUCUUUAAUGUCAUUUCACUGUAUUCACGGAGAGAACUUUGUACCCACACUGAGGCUACUACUGGCUACCCUCACAUAAUCAGUUUUUUCACUAAAUACAUCGUCUAGGAACCGACUUCAUUGUGUAUGCCAAAUUUUGCUAGUUUUGGUCAUGAGUUAUUUAAAAAUGAAUUUGUUCUGUCACGUAACCUUGAGAGCUUAAGUACAACCUCAUAUCACAUUGCACGCCUAACUUGACCUUUCACACAACUCAUAACAUGGACGACGCGACAGCUCCCCAAAAAUGAAGCCAAAACGUCUCUAUCGCCCCCUGGUGUCUGGCUGCAGUAUAGGUCAUAAAUCCCACCUCCUCCAUGUUAGCAGAUGGGACUGGGGUCGGACUAAAAUAAAAAUUUCUCCAAAGAUUCUUUAACUAUCAAUAGUCCUCAUCAUUUAUAUUCAAGGGGUCUCCUUUCCUGAGCAGAGUGAACCAGGACUGCAAACCUGCUCCAUCUUCUCGUCUCUGGAGAUUUCCAUUUACAAAAUGUCUGUGAAGGUUCUCAGUCAUCCAGGUCAUCGUAGUCAAAGGAGUUUGCAAAGAAAGGCGUCUGGACUUCUUUAAGUUGCUUGAAGACGUUUCACCUCUCAUCCGAGAAGCUUCUCCUCAGUGACAACAACACCUACGAAGCUUUAAAACGAGACCCCACAAGCAGCUACAAAAAGAAAGUUAUAGCUUGCCUUCAAGACCUUGAAAAGGACAAAAUCAUUGACCGCCUCACAUAUCACCGCCUUUAUCCAGGGGAUGCCAUACCCUGCAUUUAUGGACUUCCUAAGAUCCACAAGGAAGGGGUCCCACUCAGACCCAUAGUCAGUAGCAUAAACUCAGCCACUUAUAACAUUGCAAAACACCUUGCUACCAUCCUUGCACCUCUCGUGGGGAACACCCACACCCACAUCAAGAACUCCACUGACUUCACCGACAAGGUCCAGAAACUUACCCUGGAUCCAGAUGAAACCAUGGUGUCCUUUGAUGUAGUCUCUCUCUUCACUUGCAUACCCACCACGGAAGCAGUGGAGACUGUCAGAAAACGACUACAAGAAGACAGCUCCUUGGAAGACAGGACCAACUUCACACCCGAUCAGAUCUGCACACUGUUAGACCUCUGCCUUACCACAACAUACUUCAAAUACAACGAAGGCUUCUACAGACAAAAACAUGGCUGUGCCAUGGGCUCCCCUGUGUCACCUAUUGUAGCCAACCUUUACAUGGAGGAAGUUGAAAGAAAGGCUCUUGGCUCUUUCAAAGGAGGAGCACCCAGCCACUGGUACAGAUAUGUAGAUGACACCUGGGUCAAAAUCAAGACACAAGAAGUGGAAUCCUUCACUGCGCACUUUAACGCCAUGGAUAAAAACAUCAAGUUCACCAGGGAAGACACAAAGGAUAACUGUUUGCCUUUCCUGGACUGCGCUGUGCACAUUGAAGAGAAUGGCAACCUCAACAUUGAAGUUUACCGGAAGCCCACACACACGGACCAGUACCUCCUCUUUGACUCCCAUCACCCUCUGGAACACAAACUUGGAGUAAUUAGGACCCUACACCACCGGGCAGAACUUGUUCCCUCUAAGCCUGAAGAGAAAAAGAAGGAACACACACAUGUAAAGGAAGCACUGAAAACAUGUGGUUAUCCUAACUGGGCGUUCAUAAAGUCAGCAAAGAGGCACAGAAAAGAAGAUCAGACACCAGCGAGGGAGGAUAAGAAAGACAGACGCAACAACAUUGUCAUCCCCUAUGUAGCCGGUGUAUCAGAGAAACUCAGGAGAGUUUUCUCCAAGCAUGACAUCCCAGUGUACUUCAGACCAAGCAACACACUCAGACACAAACUGGUUCACCCGAAAGACAAAACUCCAAAACACAGACUGAACAACGUGGUGUAUGCGGUACAGUGCAGAGAGGAAUGCCCGGACGUCUACAUUGGAGAGACCAAACAGCCACUUCACAAGCGUAUGGCACAACAUAGAAGAGCCACCUCCACAGGACAAGACUCAGCAGUCCAUCUGCAUCUUAAGGAUAAAGGUCACUCUUUCGAGGAUGCCAAUGUUCACAUUUUGGACAGGGAGGACAGAUGGUUUGAAAGAAGAGUGAAAGAGGCCAUCUAUGUCCACUGUGAGCGACCAUCUUUGAACAGAGGCGGUGGUUUACGACACCAACUCUCUGCCAUCUAUAAUCCAGUUUUGAGUUCCCUCCCCAGACGCCUUAACGCCCACUCACAUCCUGGGCCAUCUGACCUCAGGAAUUCACAUGACAAGGUGGGGCCAGGUUUCACAAUGGGCUCACCCGAAACCCUGGCUGAUUAGGUCCCACACCCGCUUUCACACCUUGGCGCAUGUGAUUAGAGGAUCACCAGGGGGUCCUUUGUCCCUCCUUGGGGGGAUACUCCCACUGGGUUUAAAUCUGGGACUCUCGGCCAUUUGACCUUAGAACUGAAGAAGCUUCUCGGAUGAGAGGUGAAACGUCUUCAAGCAACUUAAAGAAGUCCAGACGCCUUUCUUUGCAAACUCCUUUGACUUCCAUUUACAAAGCACCAACAACUCAAAGGAGCUGCCCUCAGAUUCAGACCUCAGCACCACCCAGUGAAAGCAGACAGAUCAUUCAACAUGUUCACGUUAACUCCAAAAUUAACUGAUGAAAGCUGCAGCUGUUUUAUUGAUAAAGUCAAAAGGAUUAAUCACCCCUGUCACUGUCACUAUAUAUCAGCAGUCUGGUGUUUCAGAAAGCUGCUAUCUGAGACCUGUAGAGGUUCUGUUUUAAACACUGAAUGCACUCAGCCACAUGAAGAGCACAUGAGAUUUUCCCUGACACACUUAAAUAAAACCUGAUGAAGGUUAA
ensembl:lncRNA